rnacentral:rRNA from 1 species
AGUGAACGCUGGCGGCGUGCUUAACACAUGCAAGUCGAACGAGAACGGAUUAUAGCUUGCUAUAAUUGUCAGCUAAGUGGCGCACGGGUGAGUAAUGUAUAGGUAAUAUGCCUCUUACUAAGGGAUAACAAAUGGAAACGUUUGCUAAUACCUUAUACUCCUUAUUAACAGAAGUUAAUAAGGGAAAGAUUUAUUGGUAAGAGAUUAGCCUGUAUUGUAUCAGUUAGUUGGUGGGGUAAUGGCUUACCAAGACUAUGACACAUAGCUGGUUUGAGAGGAUGAUCAGUCACACUGGAACUGAGACACGGUCCAGACUCCUACGGGAGGCAGCAGUGGGAAUAUUGCACAAUGGACGAAAGUCUGAUGCAGCAACGCCGCGUGGAGGAUGACACAUUUCGGUGCGUAAACUCCUUUUAUAUGAGAAGAUAAUGACGGUAUUAUAUGAAUAAGCACCGGCUAACUCCGUGCCAGCAGCCGCCGUAAUAC